ensembl:lncRNA
CAAUAUCUAUAUUUUAAAACACUGGCUACUGUCACGGCUACAUCUUUGUGUUCUAUCAGAAUCAGCUUUAUUGACUUUCAGUUCAUGAAGUUCCUGGAUUUCCCAGUUGCCUUGAACGUGUAUCUAUCGAAAAGCUGCUUGAACUGUCGUAAACAAUCCUAUAAAUUAGUGUGCUACUCGAGAGAGGCUCCUCUCUUCGUCUGCUUUCUGCUGAAGUGCAGUAGCGAAAUGUGCACGAUGGGAUAUGACCUAAUUGUUGAUUGUGGUGAGGCGCUGGUGUCCCACAGUUUGUGCUGCCACUGUUGUGGUUGAGGUUUUGGAGAUGGCUGUAGUCCUGCUCGGUUUCAUCAGCGUCUUGGCCUUCUGCACAGAUGCAGUAAUAUAAUGUCAUGGCAGAAACAUGAGUCUUGUGAAGUCAUACUUUGGUUUGUGUUGCAGCAAAGGAUGAUUUCCUGAUCCCAGACAUCAGUAAGGAUUCCACAACAAAGAUACCUGGAAGCACUGAUGAGGAACGUCGGUAACCUUUCACUGUGUCUCAUGUUCACUGUGAGGAUCUUCUGAGUGAAGCCAACAGAAAGAAAACCUCAUCUGGUUGUGAAGAAGCAGACUGAAUGGACGACAUCCUCAGUGAACCACUUCCUGUUUACCUUUCACUUACAGAGGGACAGACCAACUGUUUCAGUAGUUUAUUAUUCUUUGUUCUUAAUCUUCACAGGUUCCAUUAAUCACCUUUAACUUCAUCUCUGCUGUUGUAGCAUAAAUACAGCAUAAAAAGUCCAUGUUAUUUAUAGCAGAUAUGCUGCAUUAAAACAUCAACACAUUCAGGUCAAGAGCUUCAUUAUUUCAUUUAUUGCACAUUUAAAAACUACAUUAUUUAACAAUUCUGAACUGUAAAGAUGUGUAAACACAUGUAAUAAAUGGAUGAAAUAAACAAUGUGUUGCUGACAGUGAGUGUAAACACUGACCAGUCACAAAGCAAGUUGUAUUAGGAAGAAAGGAGCUGAAUCUGCAGCAUUAUUUUUAUGACUGGAAGGAUGAGGAGGACAUCAGUGCUGCUCUUCCUCACAGUGAUGAAGGAGAAAAGACUCAUCAGACAACCACAGCUGGAUGUUCAUGUUCUCUGUAGCUCUCAGUCCACAUCAGACCAGAUGUCCCCAAUGAUUCAGACCAAGGCGGGAAGGAAAAGACACUAACAGUGAGGAAAAGAUCUCCAAGGUUCUUUCAUUCCAACUGCUGGAACAUAUUAACUAUCAGAGUGAAGAUUGCAGAAUAUGAAUGGAACACAAUAGAGUGUUGUAUGUCCUAUUUUUUAAUGUUAUGGAAAUUUGUUUUCCUGGUUGAGGCCAAAUAACAUUUUACUGCCUCAGAUGGACAAUAAAG